rnacentral:lncRNA from 13 species
ACGCGCACCAGUUCGCGUAUUAUCAUCGAUGUCGAACGACUUGUUUUUUCUUUGUACGCGCAGUUACUUCCGAGUUGUCGUAUGCAACGGAAAAGUGUUCCGACGGAAUAUCUAUCUUGAUCAUAUCCUCGCGUCGUGUGUCCCUCUCGCUACGUGAUGAUGUCGCCUCACCCGCGCCGGGAGCAACGCCGUCAACAAAGUGUCGCGCGUUGUUUUAAUAAUUAGCACGCGAUCGUAAUUGAUAUCGCGAGUGUUGUGUUGUGCAUUAACGAGAGAAUUGGAGAGGAGGCGGAGACUUGGAAGGAGCAUCAGGCAACGGCGGAACAACCCUGUGGAUUAAUGCAGUUUCAACUCCGCUGUUGCGCAUCAGUGUCGGAUCAAGUGGCAAGUGCGCCAAGUGAUAACCCAAAGGAGUCAAAUUCUCGUGUGUAUCGAGGGCAUUGAGUGUCUGAAGUAAUUCAAGGGACAGAUGAAUCGCUUUUGGAUCUGGCGGAUCCAUGACGCAAUUGAAGUCGCAAUGAUAAUCUUACGAACGCCAUGAGGUGGUUCUUUAAAUAUAAGUUUCUGAUCAACUGAUGGCAAACGUGAAUGAAGAGC